ACCACCUAGAUAAAAAGGAGAGCCAGGUUAAUGUCCAUCCUGAGCUGGAAGCUAGGAGCUGGUGUCAGGGAGUAGCUGAGUUACAGGACCAGCUUAUUUCUAAUUUGUAUGCUUGACCCAGGAGAGAUUUCUUUUUAAAGAGGCAUAUCAGAAACCAUUGAGAGAGGGGAGAGAGACCUGUACAACGAGUUUAGGGUGAUCACUUCUCUACCACAUUUAGGUCUGAGCUUCCUGGUGUCCUAGGCAAAAAAUGAAUAAUACUGAUAAGGGAUAAUAUGAAAUCCUCAGUAAGGCAGACUUUCCCCCCCCCCGAAUCUACUGUAAGAGGCAGCAUUAUAAUGGAAAAUGAAUAAACUUCAGUGACAGAUCAAUUCCUAGCUCUACCACUUACUAGCUGUAGCUUAGCGCAAAUGUCUAAACCUCUCUAAACUUAAAUUUCCUCAUCAGUAAAACAGAUAUAUUAGUAAGACAGGUGUAAGAAUUCCUCCCUUGCAGGGGGGUUGUGACUAUUCGAGACACCCAUGUAAAAAGCAGGCAGGCGGGUUAGGCACAGCUGGAGCUGCCGAGAGGGCAGAAUGGGGAUCCUAAGGGCUUGUCCUAUCAGCGUGGGGAGGGAAGAGAGGAGAGAGGGGGUGCCCCACACCAAGCUGGAUACACUGCUGACAGCAACUCUUACCAUUUGUGUGUAGAGACAGCCGCAGAUUCCAUCUUGGGUUUGGAAACCUGAGUGACCUAAGGAAGCCUGCUGAGAUUUGGAGGAGGGCUGGGCAGCCACCCCUGUUGCUAGGCUGAGGCCUGCACCAAAGUUCUGAAGAUUGGAGCUUCCCGAGUAGCUGCUCAGAGAGAGCUCCAGCCUGGACAGCAGGAGACCGGAGCUCUAGUUCACUGCACUACUUAGUAACUCCAAGAGCAGGACCACCAACACCGAAAGGGCCAUGCCUGUCAAAGGAAGCUGAGUUACAGAGGCUGGGCCAGGCAAGCACUGCUUCCCUUCUGGCAGUUUCCCCGGGGACCUGGCACAGGUGGCAGAUGGGGAAAAUGAGUCCCAAGAGGGAAAGGGAUUUGUCCAAGACCUCAUCAGAAGAAAAUGGAAGCCCAUGCAGUCUUAAAAAUCAUGUUGAAGAAAUUUAAAAUAAAAAUGCCUUUUUAUCCCACUAAUAUAAAAGGUUAUAAUACUUGCUCAAUGUAAAAAGCUGGAACAGUACCAAAAAGAAAGUAAAAAUCAUUUUGAGUCCUACUACUCCAGAGAUAUCUCUUGUUAAGAUUUCAAAAAGAGUAUCUGUUGAGAUGGCAAAAUAUUCACAAAAGGUUAAUAUGCAAAAACAAACAGGUACAAAUAAUCCUGUGAAAUUCCAUUUACACUAGCAGAAGCCUCCAGCACCAUCUCUGCACUUGAGGUGGAGGGAGGUGUCCCAGCUUUAGCUUUUCCCUGAGUUCACUUGAUAAAGCAGGUGGCAUGAUUGGAAUGUCCCCUGUGGCUAAUUAGAGAGGUUCCAUAACUGGGUUCCUUCUAUCAUCCUGGGGCCUGGGCCAUUUAUCUCAGUUAUCAACAGCAGACCCCAACAGCCACAAAGCAGUGGGAUUAAUUCAAUCAACAAACUGUUGUGCUAGGGGUGCAGGUGCUGGAGAUUGAGAUGAAUGAGACAAGUCCUUGGCCCUCGGGGAGCUAACGCCAGUUAAGGGAGAAGGAAGGGAACAAAUAUUACAAUGAGGUGUAUGUAUUCAGUGAAAGGGAGGCACUGAGCCCUUUGGGGGACCGGGGAUGAAGAACCCUUGGAGACACCUAACCAGCGGGGGGAGGCAGAUGGCUGAGACAUCUUCUGAAGCAGAAAGAGCAGGAGGCAGCCAGGGGAAGCAGGACAGUCCAGUAGAAGUGUCCACACAGAGCAUGUG